UACGUAGGGGGCAAGCGUUAUCCGGAUUUACUGGGUGUAAAGGGAGCGUAGACGGCAGUGCAAGUCUGGGGUGAAAGGCGGGGGCUCAACCCCCAGACUGCUCUGGAAACUGUACGGCUGGAGUGCAGGAGAGGUAAGUGGAAUUCCUAGUGUAGCGGUGAAAUGCGUAGAUAUUAGGAGGAACACCAGUGGCGAAGGCGGCUUACUGGACUGUAACUGACGUUGAGGCUCGAAAGCGUGGGGAGCAAACAGG
rnacentral:rRNA from 1 species